UACAGCCUACGGGAGGCAGCAGUGAGGAAUAUUGGUCAAUGGUCGGGAGACUGAACCAGCCACGCCGCGUGAGGGAUGAAGGUACAGAGUAUCGUAAACCUCUUUUGUCAGGGAACAAAGGCGGGGACGCGUCCCCGGAUGAGUGUACCUGAAGAAAAAGCAUCGGCUAACUCCGUGCCAGCAGCCGCGGUAAUACGUAGGGGGCAAGCGUUAUCCGGAUUUACUGGGGGUAAAGGGAGCGUAGGUGGCAGGGCAAGUCAGAUGUGAAAACCCGGGGCUCAACCCCGGGAGUGCAUUUGAAACUG
rnacentral:rRNA from 1 species